rnacentral:lncRNA from 10 species
GACACAUUCUCCCCUCAAGCCCCAGUGGGAGCACGGCCCAGCUGGAUUUUGGACUUCUGGCCUCCAGAACAACAUCCAUGAUAGCAGUCUUCUGUAAAUCGAACUUUUCAAGAAUUCUCUGAAGGAACCAAGUAGGAUAUUCUUACAUCAUGACUUAAUGUGAAUGCAAGAACAAGAAAUAGGUUUUAUCUCUAAAUAUAAUGAAGGGCUGUGUGUAAACACUGACCCUGUCUCAAUUCUAACAAGCAUUUUAGACAUGAGUUUACAUCGGCAAAUGGGUUCAGAUCGAGAUCUUCAGUCCUCUGCUUCAUCUGUGAGCUUGCCUUCAGUCAAAAAGGCACCCAAAAAAAGAAGAAUUUCAAUAGGCUCCCUGUUUCGGAGGAAAAAAGAUAACAAACGUAAAUCAAGGGAGCUAAAUGGCGGGGUGGAU